GGGCCCGUGGCGCAGUUGGUAGCGCGUCUGACUGGCAGUCAGAAGGUCGUCGGUUCGAAUCCGAUCGGGUCCACCA
rnacentral:tRNA from 1 species